GGCACGGCGGCAAUCCUUCAGCCGCCCGCCUAGGGGCCUCUCCGAUCCACUACAGCCGCAGGGACACCUCACGGAGAGAGGCCGGCGGCCACGCAGACCCCCGCGGACACAGAAAUGACAUGAGACAAUUUUGUUGUCAUUUGCAAAGUUGUCAGCAAGGAGUUUAUGUUUUUUCCAAAUCACUGAUAAAGACAUCAGUGAUCUGGAAGCCUUUAAAACCGUUAAAUAAGCCAUUGGAAGAGAGUAGACACAUGCUGAUGUAGCUGCUAAUUGGUUCACACAGCACUUGAUACAGGGACGGAUACGCUAAAAAGAUCACUCUUUAGGCAACUGUCACAUUCUAAGUUCAUUUUCCAAGUCUGGCACGUUAUCUUCAGCAAAUCUUGGGAGGCUUAAUCUGGAUAACUUUGAUGGACGGCAAUACAAGGAACUGCAUCAUUACAUUAUUACCUGAAUAUGCUGGAUGAAUUCAUCCUUACAUGCAAGCAGAAGAUAUUCACUGAUGGGAUGACCAUAGCAAUGUCUAUCGAUUACCUGACUACUUUUCUAGAAACUAGAACUGCAGAGUUU